AGCAAAGUUCUUAACCCAAGGUAUUAUUUCUGGGUUAGUGAAGUCUGUAACCUGAAGCGUCUGUAACCUGAGGUACCACUGUACAGGGCAUGAAGCGUAUUAGAAAUGUGGAAACAGCUUCUCUUCCAAGAGGCGUCUAGCUUCCCAUGAAGAAAUUCAUGUGAUUGAGCAGGUGGUUGCUGAAGAACUCCAGGCAUGCCUGGAGGAUGGGGACCAUUUGGAUCCCUUCCAAUCGGGAAUCAGGCCUCAUAUUGGGACUGAAACUGCCUUGGUUGUGCUGUGGUUCCACUCCUUCCUCCUGGGCCGUGUUCAGAAAGUGGUGGUGGGGGAUCAGUGUUCAGACCCCUGGGCUCUCACUUGUGGGGUGCCUCAGGGUUCCAUCCUCUCCCCCAUGCUUUUUAAUAUGUACAUGAAGCUGCUGGGAGAGAUCAUCAGGGGGUUUGGGCUGGGUGUUCAUCAGUAUGCGGAUGAUACCCAGCUCUAACUCUCUUUUAAAUCGGAACCAGUGAAAGCGGUGAAGGUCCUGUGUGAGUGUCUGGAGGCAUUUGGAGGAUAGAUGGCAGGUAACUGAUUGUGGUUGAAUCCUGACAAGACAGAAGUGCUGUUCUUGGAUGACAGGGGGCAGGCUGGUGUUGAGAACUCGCUUGGGCUACUGCAACACAUUCUAUGUGGGGCUCCCUUUGAAGGUGACCUGGAAACUACAACUAAUCCAGAAAGCGGCAGCUAGAUUGGUGACUGGGAGUAGCUGCUGAGACCACAUAACACUGCUUCUGAAAGACCUACAUUGGCUCCCAGUACGUUUCUGGACAGAAUUCAAAGUAUUGGUGCUCAUCUUUAAAGCCCUUAACCGCUUUGGCCCAGUAUACCUGAAGGAGUGUCUCCACCCCCAUCCUUCUUUCUGCACACUGAGGUCCAACACUCAGGGUCUUCUGCUGGCUCCCUCCCUGCGGGAAGUGAAGUUACAGGGCCUUCUCGUUAGUGGCACCCGCCCUGUGGAAUGCCCUCCUACCAGAUGUCAAAGAAAUAAACAACUGUCUGACUUUGAGAAGACAUGUCAAGGGAGCCCUGUUUAGGGAAGCUUUUAAUAUGUGAUGAAUUAUUGUAUUUUAAUAUUUUGCUGGAAGCCACCCAAAGUGAUUGGAGAAACCCAGCCAGAUGGACAGGGUAUAAAUAAAUUAUUGUUAUUGUUAUUGUUUUAAGGACUUUACCACGCAACAUGGGAAUCCACAUUCAUCUGAAGUUCGGAAGCAGUUGGACAAUCCCCAGAUUCAGGGGAUCUCCAUUUGUGGCCAUCUGGUAAAAAAAGGGGAACUGGGUUUUAUCAUGAAUAGUAGGAACAGUGUAUCCAUAACUUGCCCAGGAUGCAAAGGGAGAGGCGAGUGCUGUGCUCUGGUUCCAGGACAAAUCUCAGACAGUUGACCAACUAUAGUCCCACAGACACGCACACAAAGAACAAGACAAAAUGCUGACCGUGGAGAACGGGAGGAGGUCUUCCAGGAAUGCCUCCAGACUCUCAAUAUUUUGUGGGACUGAAUCACAUCCCAGAAUAUUAGACUAGAGACUCAGCUACAUUACUCAAAAAACUGUGUUUUGAAUGCAUUGUAAACAAGCAACAUGGUUAUUAAAUGCUGUGGCGGCGUGUCAUAGGGCAUCUGACACCAGUGUUGAGUGCUCCUGCUUCCAGGUUCCAUCCCACCCUCACCUUUGGGAGAGUCCAAAAAGGAAAGAAUGAAAAGCCCAU